CUCCAUUCCAGGGUACCACAUUGCAUUUAGACACCCUGCCUUUUGAAACUUGAUUUUAGUCAAAGAUUUUAAAUAAGUCACUAGUAAUACCAGAUUAUCUUCCAUUAUUGUAGUUCCUAAGUCUGCCCAGUCAAAGGCAUUGGAUUUGCCUCCUCCUUUAAAUUAUUCCUUGGUAUCUCUAUCUGGAUAUAAUCUCUUGCUCUGAAUUUUUAUAAAUUUUUUCCCUUUACUUCCCUCAUGCUUUAUUAAAGUACUUUUGCUGAUUUGUCAGUCCUUUCUAAGUGAUAAAUAAAAUCAGUCUUGGUACAUUGGUACAUCAUCUAUAGAGCUGAGUGAGAUCUGAACCCUACUUGAAACUAAAUCAAAGCCUCUUAAGUUUAUUCCACAUUGUUUUGUGAAGAUGAUAGGAUGAUAUCAGAUUAAUGACUUGAUCCAACCAGCACCUUUGGAGAAUUAAAACCAUAAAAUUAAGUUGUUAGUUAUUUGCAAUCACUGUGCUUCCCUAGAAGUUAAAGACUAGAGUUAGAUAUAGAGUCCUCCCUCAUUGUCUCUCAGCCUUAUAGAUUGAUACUAUUCUACUGUAGUUAUAGCUCUCAAAAAACAUUUGUCUCUUUAGUACAUACAGCUGUGAAGCUAAAAAGCAAAUUUGAAUAAUUUCUUUAAAUGAGUGUAUUUAAAACAUUGACUUUUCUAAAAUGAUCUCGUACUUCCUGCUCUAUUUAUGUCUUCAUAUUUUAUAACAUAGAUUAUGUCUUAGGUCUCCUUAAUUACACCUCCAAACUGCUAGUGAGUAGCAGGUGUAAAAUUGAGGGGUUGAGGGAAGAACUGUGAAUAAAUGUUACAUGGUAAAUUGUAUACUUAUACAUUAUAAGAGCUGGUAGCUACUUAUAUAGUGAGCUUGGG
rnacentral:lncRNA from 1 species